GUCAACCACCCCGACUGAAGUCCGGGGCUUGCCUUGGCGGGGGUGAGGGUAACAGGUUGACUAGACUGAGCCCUGUGUAAUAUAGGGCUACACAGGCGGGGCUAGAAGAACCACCCGGGUGCCGGUCCCAGCCCGGGGAAAUUCG
rnacentral:sRNA from 1 species